AGUUAAAAAGCUCGUAGUUGGAUUUCGGAGUGGGCCAGUUGGUCCGCCGCAAGGUGUGUUACUGACUGGUUUGCUCUUCUUCGCAAAGACUGCGUGUGCUCUUUAGUGAGUGUGCGUAGGAUUUACGACGUUUACUUUGAAAAAAUUAGAGUGUUCAAAGCAGGCUAUUGCUUGAAUACAUGAGCAUGGAAUAAUGGAAUAGGACUUUGGUCCCAUUUUGUUGGUUUCUAGGACCGAAGUAAUGAUUAAGAGGGACAAUUGGGGGCAUCCGUAUUUCGUUGUCAGAGGUGAAAUUCUUGGAUUUACGAAAGACGAACAACUGCGAAAGCACUUGCCAAGAGUGUUUUCAUUAAUCAAGAACGAAAGUUAGAGGAUCGAAGACGAUCAGAUACCGUCCUAGUUCUAACCAUAAACGAUGUCGACUAGGGAUCAGCGGGUGUUAUCGUACGACUCCGUUGGCACCUUACGGGAAACCAAAGUUUUUGGAUUCCGGGGGAAGUAUGGUUG
rnacentral:rRNA from 1 species